CCCGACUCCGUGAAGCUGGAUUCGCUGUAAUCGCGCAUCAGCCAUGGCGCGGUGAAUACGUUCCCGGGCCUUGUACACACCGCCCGUCAAGCCAUGGGAGCCGGGGGUGCUUGAAGUGCGUUGCCGCAAGGCGCGCCCUAGAGCGAAACCGGUGACUGGGGCUAAGUCGUAACAAGGUAUC
rnacentral:rRNA from 1 species